AUCUCCCAAGGCUAAAUACUCCCUAGUGACCGAUAGUGAACCAGUACCGUGAGGGAAAGGUGAAAAGCACCCCGGAAGGGGAGUGAAACAGUUCCUGAAACCGUGUGCCUACAAGUAGUUAGAGCCCGUUAAUGGGUGAUAGCGUGCCUUUUGUAGAAUGAACCGGCGAGUUACGAUUUGUUGCAAGGUUAAGCGGAAAAAGCGGAGCCGUAGCGAAAGCGAGUCUGAAUAGGGCGCAUAAGUAACAGGUCGUAGACCCGAAACCAGGUGAUCUACCCAUGUCCAGGAUGAAGGUAAGGUAAUACUUACUGGAGGUCCGAACCCACGCACGUUGAAAAGUGCGGGGAUGAGGUGUGGGUAGCGGAGAAAUUCCAAUCGAACUUGGAGAUAGCUGGUUCUCUCCGAAAUAGCUUUAGGGCUAGCCUCGAGGUAAAGAGUCAUGGAGGUAGAGCACUGUUUGGACUAGGGGCCCUUCUCGGGUUACCGAAUUCAGAUAAACUCCGAAUGCCAUGUACUUAUACUCGGGAG
rnacentral:rRNA from 1 species